CCUACGGGUGGCUGCAGUGGGGAAUAUUGCACAAUGGGCGCAAGCCUGAUGCAGCCAUGCCGCGUGUGUGAAGAAGGCCUUCGGGUUGUAAAGCACUUUCAGCGGGGAGGAAGGCGUUAAGGUUAAUAACCUUGGCGAUUGACGUUACCCGCAGAAGAGGCACCAGCUAACUCCGUGCCAGCAGCCGCGGUAAUACGGAGGGUGCAAGCGUUAAUCGGAAUUACUGGGCGUAAAGCGCACGCAGGCGGUCUGUCAAGUCGGAUGUGAAAUCCCCGGGCUCAACCUGGGAACUGCAUUCGAAACUGGCAGGCUAGAGUCUUGUAGAGGGGGGUAGAAUUCCAGGUGUAGCGGUGAAAUGCGUAGAGAUCUGGAGGAAUACCGGUGGCGAAGGCGGCCCCCUGGACAAAGACUGACGCUCAGGUGCGAAAGCGUGGGGAGCAAACAGGAUUAGAUACCCCAGUAGUC
rnacentral:rRNA from 1 species